CCUUUGGUUGGGUGGCUUCUCUCUUUCUUUGCCAGUCUCCUCCAUUGAUUAAAGGAAUCAAAUCAUCACCGGCCGGUUUGUCGAGUGAGAAAUGGAGAGGAGGAGGAGGAGGAGGGGGUAAUUAUAUUAGCCUUCGUGGCUCCACCAACGCAUUAAAUAUACCAAUGUUAAUGAUGCUCAAAAGUUGCUUGAAGAAAUUUGGUUUCCUUUGUCACGUACGAUUUAUCAAUUAUUUAUUUAUUUUUUAAUCGUCCACUGUGAUUGUCCCUUAACAACCGUUGCUGUUCUAUUUUGGGUUUCCGUUCUCCCAAUAUGUAAACUCUAAAGUAUUAAUUUUUUCCCGUGAUGUUUGGUUUGAUAAAUUUCGAUAAAAUUAAUUAUUAGGUGAGUUUGUGAUUGCUCGUGUAAUUAAUUUUAAUUGCCGCAAGUCUCAGUCUCUCCGAAAUACUACAUCUUUUCUUUCUAAGGAAAAAAUAAUAAUAAUUCCAUAAGUUCAAUUA